UCAUUCGGUCGGUGCAGAAGGAAAUGGAUGGAAAUUCGUGGAACAACACCACCAGAGACUGAUACCCAUCAUCGUAUUUUUGCAAGAUGUUUUGAAGUUUGCAGUGCUGAGGAUUCCCAACUGGUUGUGGUCGACCCUGCAGAACUGAACCACUACGUCCCCCUGUCAGCCUACAUGGUUCAAGGCAGACUCCUGAUUUCUCCUAACGCAUUCCUGCUACACUGAGAUUCAUCAUGUUGCUCCGUGUCAUCCUAACCGAAGAGGACAUUCGGAGGGUCAUCAUUGAGAACAUGCCCGACACGGUUGAUGACCUGCACUUGAUCCUCAAAAACAAGCUUGGAUUGGAAGGAGUUUUGAGGGUACAAU